rnacentral:rRNA from 1 species
GAAUAUUGGACAAUGGGCGCAAGCCUGAUCCAGCCAUGCCGCGUGAGUGAUGAAGGCCUUAGGGUUGUAAAGCUCUUUCAGUGGGGAAGAUAAUGACGGUACCCACAGAAGAAGCCCCGGCUAACUUCGUGCCAACAGCCGCGGUAAUACGAAAGGGGCUAGCGUUGUUCGGAUGUACUGGGCGUAAAGCGCACGUAGGCGGUUUGUUAAGUCAGAGGUGAAAUCCCGGAGCUCAACUCCGGAACUGCCUUUGAUACUGGCAAGCUAGAGUCCGGAAGAGGUAAGUGGAACUCCUAGUGUAGAGGUGGAAUUCGUAGAUAUUAGGAAGAACACCAGUGGCGAAGGCGGCUUACUGGUCCGGAACUGACGCUGAGGUGCGAAAGCGUGGGGAGCAAACAGG